AUUGAACGCUGGCGGCAUGCCUUACACAUGCAAGUCGAACGGCAGCACGGGAGCAAUCCUGGUGGCGAGUGGCGAACGGGUGAGUAAUAUAUCGGAACGUGCCCAGUCGUGGGGAUAACGUAGCGAAAGCUACGCUAAUACCGCAUACGAUCUAUGGAUGAAAGCGGGGGAUCGCAAGACCUCGCGCGAUUGGAGCGGCCGAUAUCAGAUUAGGUAGUUGGUGAGGUAAAGGCUCACCAAGCCGACGAUCUGUAGCUGGUCUGAGAGGACGACCAGCCACACUGGGACUGAGACACGGCCCAGACUCCUACGGAGGCAGCAGUGGGGAAUUUUGGACAAUGGGCGCAAGCCUGAUCCGGCAAUGCCGCGUGCAGGAUGAAGGCCUCGGUUGGUU
rnacentral:rRNA from 1 species